CCUACGGGAGGCAGCAGUGGGGGAUAUUGGACAAUGGGCGGACCUCUGAUGCAGCGACGCCGCGUGAGGGAAGAAGGUUUUCGGAGUGUAAACCCCUGUCUUCGGUGACGAAACGACGCGGUAGCCGAGGAGGAAGCAACGGCUAACUACGUGCAAGCAGCCGCGGCAAUACGUAGGUUGCAAGCGUUGUCCGGAUUUACUGGGUGUAAAGGGAGCGUAGGCGGGAAAGCAAGUUAGAGGGUAAAGGUACGGGCUCAACCUGUACGCGCGUUCAACACUGUUUUUCUUGAGUGGAGUAGAGGUAUGCGGAAUGCGUGGUGUAGCGGUGAAAUGCGUAGAUAUUAGGAGGAACACCAGUUGCGAAGGCGGCUUACUGGGCUUUAACUGACGCUGAGGCUCGAAAGCGUGGGUAGCAAACAGGAUUAGAUACCCGAGUAGUC
rnacentral:rRNA from 1 species